UACCUUGUCUCGAUGAUUGCUGCUGCUGUCGACGAGGGCGAUGAGAGGGAUGAGGCGGAUGUACAUGUCGAUCUCGUGCUGCGCGGCGCGGAGCUCGUCGGCCAUCCGGGCGCCGAGGAGCAGGCGGUGGAGGUAGCCGCCGUCCUCCUGGCACGCCGUGGCGAGCGCGUAGCACCGCCGCAGCGCGCCCUGGAGCUGCUCGAGGGGCCGCCUGGUGGCCUCCCGCCGCAUCAGCUCGGCGAGCUCCAGCUCCCGUAGCAGGCCGCCGACGAGCUCCGCGUGCUGCCCCAGCCGCCGGCACGCGUCCCGGUGGCGGCGCGCCGCCAGCGCCGCCUGCGCCACCAUGGAGACCAGCCCGAGCGCGUCGACGCCGACCAGCUGCGCCACGUUCGACGCCUGCCCGAGCACGCCCCACAGGCUGCUGCUCUCCAUGGCGUUGCGCUCCCCGCGCAACGCCGCCGCGGCCGCAACUACCCGAUGUCUCGCCGCUUCGGCCGUUGCCGCCAUUGACGGUUGAGAGGUGAGGCCGCCUAUAUUCGAGGCGACUCGCGAGUGUGCACGUCAGCAUGUGGAAGACGACUUUGACCAAGCGCGCUGCUGUGGUCAGUGUAUACGUGGUCAGUGUAUACCGGGAUGUGACUGCGUUGAGGCCCAGGCAUUAUCACAUCCCGGCCCAAUAGCCAUCAGAUAUUCCUUUGCUGUUCUUUUCACUCUAAAGAAAUUGCUUCUACUCCCUCUAUCUCUCUUCUUUUUUAGAUAUAAUCUCUUUUAUAUGUUAAACUACAUAUAUGUGAUGGAAACUUAGAAACUACUAUUAAAUAAAAAAUAAACGUUCGAGAUUUUUUCAUGUCAUCACGAGUAAAACUUUUACUCGCAGAUUCACUCACCAGUGAAAAUUUUAUUGGUGACGUGGAUAAAUAUCGUACGUUCAUUUUUUAUCCUACGAUAGCUUUCAAGUUUUCAUUACAUAUAUGGUUUGCACUAUAUAUAUUUUCCAUGUUUCUUAUUUGCAUGCCAUACUAAUAAUAAUAGUUAGUAUGAUCGAGACAAUUCGUGAACGAUGCCACCUUCUAGAGUGAAUGAAUGAAACAUGUUUUGGACCCAAAUUUAGGAAUUUCGGUGUCACCGAAUUUUCCAAAAAAAUUGAGAACGAAAUUAUUUCAAACAUUAACAAAAUUUGAAUGAAUUGAAUAAACUUUGACCAAAUCUCUACUAUUAUAAAAAUUGAAAAUGUUUUUACCGGUAUUUUGGUACGUCAUCCGUGUAUGACUCGGUUCUUAAGUUCGUUUGCUUUUAAAAAUACAUAUCCAUAUUUGAGUCGGUAUUUAAGAUCAUCCACUUUUGAUAAUACUAGGAAUCAUAUAAGAAAUAUAUUUAAAAAGACUCGCAUGCUAACUUGAGACGAUCAGACUCCUAACUGCAGCUUAUGAUUUUCUAAAAAUAUAUAUAUCUAAGUGAACUCCCACAAUAAAUUUUAUCUUAACUAAACAAUAUAACUAUAAUAAGAUUAAAAUAGGCUUCACCCGUUGCAACGCACGGACAUUUUUUCUAGUUAAAAAAAAGAAAAACCAAGAAUUUCAGCCAAGAUAUUGUAAUCACGGGUUGGAAGAGGAUCUUCUCUAUUCUAAACCAUCUGUAACACCGUGUACAACUCUCCUCCUUUAAUUCGGAGACGAAAGAAUUCAAGUGGGGGCUAAAAUAAAUAAAUACUCCACUAGCUAGCCAAAGCACCAAAAAUGCAAUUUACUCUUAUCCGUGUAACCCAAAGUCCAAAAGGUGAAAUUUUAGUCCAAAAUCAAGACAUUCGGGCGACAUGAGAAUCCCAGCCGGCCGAGGCCGAGGCCGAGUCCUAGUCCGACUCCGACUCCGUAUAGGUUAUAGGCACCGACUCCGUCCGGCUCUCCACCGUAUAUAUCCCCUUCCCAGCAAAAACUAAUCUAAGAAUAUUAAUUCUUGAUUAGGAGCUCAUGCUGCAGAGCUCGAUCACAAUUCACAUCUCAACGACGGCGACGGAAAUGGGGAGAAAGGAGGAGGAGCAGGAGCAGGAUGCGGAGAUGGAAGAACUAGUAGUGGACUACUACGCAGAUGAGCCGAUGGAGGAAGACGGUAAAAAUAGUAACAACAAGUGGAAAUACCGGGAGGACCCUGGCUUCAUGGAGGCAUACCUGAAGGUGAUGCAGCUCGUGGAAGAAGAUGAUCGGAUCGAGGACGAGGAGAGCGCUGCGGCGGCGGAGGCGGCGAAGCCAGGGCGGAAGAGGGCUCACGCCCGGAAGGCGGGGGAGCUGGACGACGUGGAGACGACGAAGAGGUACAAGUGCAACUACUGGGCGGACGACGACCCUGCUUACCGCGGCAAGAGGCGGCUGGAGAACACCGGCCAGCUCUUGGCCCGCACCGCCGCCCUCAUGAACCGCGCCGAACGGGAGACCGCCGCCAUGAUGGCCCGAUGAGAACUAGAGGACAGCCAGCUUAUAAACACCUAGCGAGCUGAAUUCCAAUAUAUCUAUAAGUAUGUUUUUUUAGAUAAUAAAAUAUAAUAUCCUGGCCUUUGCUCAAAUAUCUUAUAAGUAUGUAACUGUUCCAAUUGUAAUUAUACUGAAAAUCAUUCGUGUGGGUAAGAAUAAGACAGGUACGAUACCAAUAAGUUUCAAAAUUUGAUGAUACCACGUAUUCUCGAUUCGAGCUAUUAGCUAAGCUUAGCCAUCAGAAUGGAUCAUCUAUAACCGGGGAAAGGGAUUUCAUCCCUCGGGGGAUAUCCACUCGUUUCGUGCAUACCACCUAUAUAGUUAUAAAAAAUAUAAAAAAAUUGGUAACACAGAUUAAUAUGAAAUAUAUCACUCCACAAACAUGCAAGUUUAAAUUCAACUUCACAAGCUAUAACAAAAAUAACAAAUAUAAUUGCGAAUGUGAGAUAACUAUUUUCAAUUUAAUUUGUUAUUUUUGUUGCAACUUAUAGAAGUUGAAUUUGGUCUUGCAUGUUGUGGAGUGAUAUAUUUCGUAUUAAUCUAUGUUGUCAAUUUUUCAAUUUUUUUGAUAAAAUUAGAUGACAUGCAAACAACAAGGGGAUGUCCUCUCGAGGGAUGAAAAUCCACAUCCCUAUAACCGUAUUGUUGCAUUGAUAAACUUCUCAAUCGUAAGUUGAUGUAAUUUUGACUUUGCGUAAAAAAAAUGUAAUUCUGACUGCAUGUAGUAUUGGGGUUGUCAAAAUCUAACACACAAAAUCCACAUCCCUAUAACCGUAUUGUUGCAUUGAUAAUCUUCUCAAUCGUAAUUUGAUGUAAUUUUGACUUUGCGGAUGUAUUUUUGACUUUGUGUAAAAAACUGUAAUUCUGACUGCAUGUAGUAUUGGGGUUGUCAAAAUCAACACACAGGGCCGGAUGUGUGGUUCCUUAUUGUAAGCCGACCAGAAUCGCUGAAUUCAAGAUUUAUAAAUUGGUAAUCAUGUUGAGUCAUUCCGUUCAUUAUCUGAAAAUGUAUAGUUUCUUCCAACUGCAGUAGCUCAUUCAGUAUACAGUAAAGAAUUAAAAAAGGGUAUGAUGGCUUAACCAUUAUCUUCCUUUAUGCAGCUUUUUACAACUAUUGUGCACUGAAACGAUUCUAAACUCUUAAUGGGGCAUCUCCUUAUUGUUUGCAAUAUAAAUUAGAUAAUUAAUAUGUGAUAUAUCUCUCCAUAAACAUAUAAAUUAAAGUUCGACUUCUACAACUUGCAACAAAAAAGAUAAAAUUAAACUAUAGCCAGUUAAUAAUUCUAAACUCUCGAGAGGACAACCCCUAAAGAGUUUAAAAUCCAUUCCCGCUAUGCGCUGUAAUUUUAUAAGGCCAUUCACAGUACGUCCUAGUCAAUGAGAAGCCCCGUACUGCCACCUCCGCACCUCGUCAGUUGUCACCAUCUCUCAUCUCUGCUCUCCACCUAUGCCGUACAGGAGGACUCGCCCUGCACCGACCUCGCCAGCAGAGCCUCACCUCCCGCAAGCCGCUUGUCGGGCCCCUCCGUCCGCUGGGCCUCCACUGCGCCGGCGACGGCGGUGGCGGAGGCGGAGGCCGAGGCGCUCGGCGAUGGCGACGGCGCGAGGGGGGAGGCGCUCAGAGAUGACGAAACAACAGCGGUGGAGGCGGAGGUGGAGGCGACGGCGUGAGGGGAAGGCGGAGGAGGCAGACAACGCGAUGGGGAGGCGGCGCUCGACUGCUGUGACGCGGCGGCGACGGCGGCGGAGAGGGAGAGGGAGUGGGCAGCAGCACGGGAGAGAGGUUUUUUUUUUUGGGGGGGGACCCGGGGUGGAGUUAGUGGGUGCUGUUUUGUGAAAAACCCCCUCGUCUUCCAUAUUUUACAGGCAGUCCUUACUAGCGAUUUUUAUCUCCUUCACAUGGAAUAUCCAAUUUUUAUAUUGUCCUAUACGUAAAACAUCAUCUAAGAGGUACUGUUCAUGAGGGGUCUAGAUCUAAUUACAAAACAAUGGAGGACCUUUUCGCAAAAUCGCCAACCCACGCACUGUUCCUGUUCCUACGUGGCAUCGCUGAGCGGCCGCGCCAUCCGCCACCCUUGAUGUUUUGGGGGCCGACGAUGGUGGUGGAGGCGAGUGACGGCGACGACGAUGCGAGGCGAUGGGGAAGCCGGAGGCGGACGACGGGGACGCCUCGCGAGGGGGAUGCGAACGCGGUGCUCAGAGGUAGCGGCGCGAGGGGAUGAAGGAGGUGGUGCGAGACGCGGGCAGCAGCGGGAGAGGUAGAGGGAGAGGGUGAGACGGGCGGGGGGACGGGGGAAGGGGCGGCGACGUGAGGCGGAGCGGAGACUGGAUAUUUUAUAAUUUGGUUCUUUUGAAAAACUUAUUUUGCAAAUAAACCCCUGAAAAAACUUAUCUCGAAAAUGGUCCUUUUUGGGGCGCCAGAGUCACUGGCGCCGUCCUCCUGCCACUGUGGCGAGUAGGCGCUGAGGUGGCAGGGGGAGCGCGCCAAUGUGGUUGGUGCCCUCCCCCCGGAUUUUUUUUUCACGCUUAGGAGCACACAAGAACCAACCUUAGAAAGGUUGAACUCAAAUGGAUGAAAUAUGUGACCUGUAGAAAUUUCGAAAGCUCUACCAAAAAGCUUCUCGCCUCGAAAACACAAUUUUGUAAGCUAAAUUUGGAUGUUCUAAUUUCGCCGAAUCCGGCAAAGCCGAGGAGAAUCGGAUGUAACUUUUUCUGUAGAUAUCCGUUUUCAGUAGAUAUUUGAAAAACUUAUUAUAAGUUUGAUUUCAGCCUUGACAGGUUCAAGCAUAUCGGCUUUGCAUCUUCUCGGAGACUGCUGGUGUGGUCUAAUCCCUGGUUUUAAAGGUAAUCGAUGCUCGAUGAUCGAUCGGCUGAGUCCUGGCAUCUCAUAAUACUCCCAAGCAAAGCAAUCUCUAAACUCUUUCAAAAGCUCCAUCAGCUUGGUUCUAAAUUCUGAAGACAAAUUCUUACUAAUGAAUGUCGGCCUUGGUCAAUCACCCGGACCUAUAUCCACUUCGUCUAAAUCAUCGGCCGACAUAAAACCCUGACAUUGCUUGUCAUCGAGAUCAUCUACCGUGUCCUUGGCGUAGACGCUUGAACCCUCCACGACGCCCUCAAAAUAAUAGCUUGGGUUCUUCGUCUUCAAUCGGCUGUAUAUCAUAAUCGGACACUUUUAGAAAAUCUCCAACCCAAAUCUUCCCGUAUAAACAAUCAAGGCCAUCCAUCUCCCAAAGAGCUAAAUCGGCACUGGCAACAUUAAUUGACCUGUCGGCUGGCACAAUCUCAACCUUGUCGCCUUGCCAUUGAAUCAAGCAUUGGUGCAUGGUCGAAGGAAUACAACAAUUGGCAUGAAUCCAAUCCCUUCCAAGCAACAAGCUGUAAGAACCUUUCCCAUCGAUGACAAAAAAUGUGGUAGGGAUAGUUUUACUGCCGACUGUCAAUUCUACAUUCAGAACACCCUUUGUUUCCGAUGGGUUGCCACCAAAGUCUUUAAGCACCAUGUUCGUCUUGAUGAGAUCCUCAGUAGUUCUACCUAACUUUCUGAACGUAGUAUAAGGCAUCAAAUUUACCGCAGCCCCACCAUCGACCAUCAUCUUAGACAUCGGCUUCCCAUUAACAUAGCCAUUUAUAUACAAUGGUUUAAGAUGCCGAUUUUCUGUCCCCUCAGGCUUUUCAAAGACUGCUCAUUCUGGUGAUAGAACCAACUUGGCCGAUUCCUCUUCCAGUUCGUCAACAUCGGCCUGAUCAAUCCCGAAUUCGGCUGGCAAAGUAAAGACCAUGUUAAUUGGCGCUGUUACAAUACUUUUCCCUUUUGCCAACCUCUUUGCUUCGUCGGCUGCAAUAUCAUCGGCUCCAAGAACUUGAUUCUUAACACGCCACUCCUUCCUUGGCUUUGCUUUCCUCAGCCGAUGACCAAUUUCUUGUUCGACCUCCUGAAAGCGCUCCCUGCUCCUCAACCUUUGAACCCUUCUUUUCUGAUUCUUUGUAAAAAUACCAGAAGGACACCACUGAGUCUUCGCGUUCUCGUCUUUCUUCAAGUAAUCAUUUUGAUUUACCGGGCCCAACCUUUGAUGAACGGGAACUCUAGCUUGCUUCAGCCAAUUGCCUCUGUUGUACGAUCGGCUUGAACUCUCUGUAAUAUCACUGCACCCAUGACAGUCUUCAAUAGAUGGUAGCCUCAUUCCUUCGUUCCAGCAGAACCGAAAGAACUCACAAUUCCAAUGAGGAUCGAAACCAUCAUUAUCUUCUUCAUAAUGCCUCUCUUGUUGUUUGUCGUAUUUCCUCUGAUACUUAUUUAUAAUUUUAGCCGAAUUCACGCGAAAACCUCUCGCUCGUCCCACAUCGGCUGUCCGACCAACGGUAUGAACCAUGUUAAUGGGGAAAGGAUUACCAUCGACCUUCAUCGGCUUUUUGGAAUCAUCAAACUUAAUCUUCCCCCCUUCAAUGGCUACUUGAAUCUGCUGUCUAAAGACCUUGCAAUCAUUAGUAGAAUGAGAUCCAGAAUUAUGCCAUUUGCAAUACCUCCUUUUGCCUAGUUCCUCAGCCGAUGGAAUUACAUGACCAGCGGGGAGUUGAAUUUGCUUCUCCCGGAGUAGCAGAUCAAAAAUCUUGUCAGCUUUGGUAAUAUCAAAAUCAUAUCUCUCCUCUUUUCCAGAAUUCUUUACCCACUAACAAGGUAUAACCUUUUUACUCCUUACCCAUUCGGCUGCAGCUAUUUCAGAGUCAUCGUCAUCAUCAUCCGAUCCAUACAUGUAAGGACAGACAUGAUUAACCCUCUUAGAGCUUCUCCUGGCCUCUGCAAACCUCUGUUCAUGCAAUGUCACCUUCUGUACGAGAUGCGACAGGCUAUCAAAAUCUUCAGAUGAGAAUUUCUCCCUAAUCGGAGGAAUCAUGCCUUGAAAAGCCAAAUCGGCUAAUUGGGCAUCAGUCAAACUUAAGCUAAAGCACUUGUUCCUCAUCUCCCUGAUUCUCUGAAUAUACUCAUGUACAGGUUCAUCAUGCCUUUGCUUGAUUGCUGUUAAGUCAGAUAACUUCAUCUCAUGAACUCCACUAUAGAAAUAGCUAUGAAAUUGCUUCUCCAAGUCGGCCCAACUAUUGACUGACCCAUACGGCAAAGAAGAAAACCAUGUAAAAGCCGACCCAGACAAGGACAACCGGAAUAAUCUAACUCUGAGAGCGUCCACAGCCGAUGCUUCGCCGCACUGAGCUAAAAAUCGGCUAAUGUGUUCAUAAGUUGACACACCAUCUUGUCCCGAAAAUUUGGAGAAGUCUGGGAUUUUAAACCGGUUUGGAAGAGGAGUUUUCUCAAACCACUCAGGGUAAGGUUGCCGAUACAAUUUCCCAGUAUCUCUCGGCUUAAGCCCAAAUUGUUCUUUCAUCACAUCGGCAAUUACAUCAGCCCAUGGUCGCUGUUGAGCUGCUUCUUGCGACUGUUGCUGUGUUGGUUCAAACUGAUUAUAUUGAGAAGCAAACUGAGGUUGGGUUAGCCCUCCUUGCUGAUACUGAACUUGAGGGGAAAAAGGCUGAUAUUGAUAAUUCAUAUUACCCCCUUGGCAAUUUUGGUAACUUGGUUGAAUACUUUGCACCAAGUGCUCCGGCAUAAUCCGAGGCAUCGCCGUACCAUCUGGCUGUAUAUGGUGAACCAAAUGUUCUGGAAUAACCUGAUUCAGGGCGUGCCCAGCCGAUUGCCCAGCCGAUUGAUUCAUCAAAGCUUGCUGCGGAAUCGGCUGUAUAGUUUGUUGUCCUGGAGGUGUUGGCUGAACUGGCUGCACAACCUGCUGCCUUAGUGGAGUCUGUUGAAUUGAAUUGACAGUAGAUUGGAGGGGUGGAAACAUAGCAGCCACCUGAUCCUGUGCUGGCCGAUUUACCGUUUGCCCGCUAUGCUGUGGCUGCUCCCUCAUCAAUAGCCGAGGAUUAAUCGGCUGACCUGGUGUCGACGCUGAUGGAGCAGGCAAAGAAAUCAAUGGCGGUGCCAUCGGCUGAGCCGAUAGUGCACUCGGAAGAACUGCCUGAGCAAGCGGCUGAACAUCAGUAAUCAAAGAUCGAUAAUUCGGAAAAACACCUCAUGGCAAGUAGACCGGGCCUGCAGCUUGAUGCUCGGCUAUUGACCCAUCGGCUAUCGUCUUCAUCAUGUUAGACAAGGUGUUGACUAACACUCCAGAUUGAUUGAUCAAAGCAUUGUGUACGGCGUAGUCACUCGAUCUUGGAAAUUGUUGAAGAAAUCUUGUGCUGUCUCACCAUUCCGAUUAAGAUUUCCUCCUUGUGGCUCAUGAGCACCAUCACCUUGAACUGCAUGUACCCCCUGAGAGCCGUCACCUUGAUUCUCUUGAGCCGAGCCAUCUAAAACUCUUUUUUCUUCUCCCUCCUUAGAGAUACUGGUCUCCGGCUCAUCGGGAACCACCUUUACCUUGUACUUUUGAACAAAUGUUCCCUUGCGAGUCUGUGUGAACGACCUAAAGAACUGUUCUCGUGCUUGUUGCAUCAUUGCUUCGAAAUCCUUCUUCUGGUCAGGUGUGAGCUUUUCCGGAUCAACAGCCACAAUAUUCCCUUCAUCGACUUCGUUCAAUCCUAGCCUUUGGAUUGUCUCUUUAACAGUACCCGGGCUAGCCGAGGAUGGCGACGUUGGCAGCUUCUCGGCCAUGAGGAAGAUUGAUUUCUGACUUCUAAUUGGUCCCACCGGGCAUGCCAAAAGCGUGUUGAUAGAAAACACGAGGCCUGGGAGAUCUGCUUAACUCCAGUGCAGGUCCAAAACUCGCCUUCGGGUGUAUGAGCGUGCCAGUUGAUUUGAUGCUGCAAUCAACAAGAAAUAGAACAAAGAAACCGCAAUUAAUCCUAUAAAUGAUAGCCGAUCGGCUAGGUGCCGAUGACAUAUCAUUUAUUUCAAGCCAAUGUCAUAAGUACAUCGAUCGGCAAAUAUCAAUAAGCAAAUCAGAACUAAAUCUACUCGAUCGGCUGUAGAUAUUAAUGAUAUAUAAUCCUUAUAUCGAUAUAUACUUAAAUCAAGUGAUUGGGAUAGAUCGGUCGCCUUGCCGAGACAGUAUAAAUCACUUAGAUCGAUAUAUAUAUAUAUAUAUAUAUAUAUAUAUAUAUAUAUAUAUAUAUAUAUAUAUAUUAAUAGUGGGAUUAUAUACAUUUAUAGCAUAGCCGAUCAAAUGGAUCUAGCAUGUAUUGGCUAAUACUCCGAUACCACUCUAUAUUAAGAUGUUAAAGCAAGUAGAAUAUACCAAACAGAAGCCUAAUAUACCUAGAUGCGACAAGAUCCUAACAUAAAGGGCAGAUUUAACAUAUAGAUUAAGCAUAUGGAAUAAAAGUAGUUAAAUCAGAUAAGAUCGGCUGAAACUCCGAUACUACCCUAAUCGGCAACCAUAAAGCAGGCUAGAGAUUGCAAAUCUAAGCACGACUUAAUAGAUCAAACUCAACUGAUGUAGCAUUAAGUAUGAAAAGAAGAACAAUAUCUAAACAAUUAAGCCGCUGGAAGUUUCAUAGAGUGGUAGAUAUAUCACAUAAUCUAAGUUAACAUCAUUGUCUAACCUAAUCGGCUGCCUUCCAUUAACAGAUGUUAGCCGGUUAUAGGUUAGAUAGAGACAUUAUCGAAGAUUAUGUGAGAUAUAUGAUAACUCGACGAAUUAUAUAGACAAGAUUAGAGUAUCAUAAAGAUGGAAGCACUAAUCCUGAGAACAUAAAUCGUCAUGACAAGUUUUACCUCUUGUUGAAGAUCGAAACAGAUGCAGCUCAACCCGAGAGCACGAACUCGUCGAAAUAAAAGUAAAGCAAAAAAGGUUGACGAUGCGCCGAGAUUGUAUUGGAUGUGUAUCCUUUUUUUACAUAGGGCUUGGGUCUACUUAUACCCGAGAAUUACAAGAUACGUCCAUAACGGACCCGACUAUUAUCUCUAACAAACUCUAAGAUACCAUAAGUCUUUACGGCAGACUUUUGCCCAAACAUAUCUCUAAGGAAAUUACACAUAAUAUCCUAAUUAAUAGAUACAAUUGCCUUCCCAGGACUCUAUCCAUGCGUGGUAAUCAUCUUUGAAGCACAUCAACUUGAACCCGACGACAUACGCCGAGUCAUAUUAUCGGAAUCGGCUGUAUCGGCUAACCCCGUCCGACUCGAACUCUGCCGACCUGACCUUAGCCGAUUUGGACUGCAGCCGAUUCUUACUCUGUUUCCGCAACGAUCUUCAUCUUGGAUUCCACUUCGAUCUGAUCUUCACCUUCGAUGCCAAUAGUGAUAGAAUUUACCAAAUUUGGUCGUUAACAGACAUUUGAAACUAAAAUAAAAAAUAAAAAAAUAAAAUUAAUAUGUAUUUGUUAUUUUUCUUUUGUAAUCUGUUGAAUGUAAAUACAAAGGUAAAAAAAAUUUAGAUGAGCUUUUAUUAGAAAUCACCCGACAAAUGGAUAGAUGCUCUAAGCGGCUAAGGCCCUGUUUAGAUGGGACUAAAACUUUUAAGUCCCUAUCACAUUGAAUGUUUGGACACUAAUUAUAAAUAUUAAACGUAGACUAUUAAUAAAACCCAUCCAUAAUCUUGGACUAAUUCGCGAGACGAAUCUAUUGAGUCUAAUUAAUCCAUGAUUAGCCUAUGUGAUGCUACAGUAAACAUUCUCUAAUUAUGGAUUAAUUAGGCUUAAAAAAUUUAUCUCACAAAUUAGCUUUCAUUUAUGUAAUUAGUUUUGUAAAUAGUCUAUAUUUAAUACUCUAAAUUAGUGUCUAAAUAUAGGGACUAAAGUUAAGUCUCCGAUACAAACAACACCUAAGGUGGUGUUUAGAUCUAGGGACUUAACUUUAGUCCCUGUCUUUAGACACUAAUUUAGAGUAUUAAAUAUAGACUACUUACAAAACUAAUUACAUAAAUAAAAGCUAAUUCACGAGACAAAUUUUUUAAGCCUAAUUAAUCUAUAAUUAGAGAAUGUUUACUGUAGCAUCACAUAGGCUAAUCAUGGAUUAAUUAGGCUCAUUAGAUUCGUCUCGCAAAUUAGUCCAAGAUUAUGGAUGAGUUUUAUUAAUAGUCUACGUUUAAUAUUUAUAAUUAAUUUUCAAACAUCCGAUGUGAUAGGAACUUAGAAGUUUUAGUCCCAUCUAAACAUGGCCUAACUCUUCUCCCACCUAUCCCUCUCUCUUCCCCGGAACGAGAUCGUCUGACGUUUCUUCCCCAUCUCUCGGGCAGCGUGAGGCGAGAUGGGUGGCGCGCGGCGGCCGACGGGAGAGGAGCGGCGUAGCGGCCGGCGGAGGCCGCGUCCCCGUGGCCCCCUCCGCCGCUCCCCCCGUUGUCCUCGCUUCUUCCCCCCGGGCCGACGCCGCUGCCGCCCUCACCACCGUCGCGUCCGCCAUCGCCGAUUCCUUCCGUGACCUGUUCCUCCUGUCCCGCCACUGGGCAUGGCGGAGCGGGACGUGUUCGCGUACACGGCCAUGAUCUCGGGGCUGUCGGACCACAGCCGAUGCGUGAAGGCCAUCGAACUGUUCGAGCGGAUGCAGGAGGAACGGGGAGGGCAGGGCUCAUCGGCCAGGCAAGGGAGAUCUUCGGGAGCAUGGCGGCGAAGUACGGCAUGGAGCCCGGCGUGGAGAACUAUGGCAGCCUGGUGGAUGUGCUGGCGGGGAUGGUGGAGGAGGCGGAGGAUGCCGAUGAGGCCCGACUAGUGCGUGCUGGGGGCGCUGCUGAAUGCGUGAAUGGCGCGCGGCGACACUGAGGCCGGGAAGGAGGUGGCGGCGAUGAUGGCGGAGCUGGGGCUGGACGACCACAGCGGGGUGCAGGUGCAGCUGUCGAACCUGUAUGUGGGGCGGGGGAAGUUGGGGGAGGUGGCGGGUGUUCCACCUCCAUGAUCCAUCGGCCAGCGACAUGGCGACCUCAGCGUGGUGACGGCGUCCAAGUACUCCAAGGUUCCUCAACCCGUAGGAGUUAGGACACGCCCCAUCGCGCCACCGCCGACCUCCCUCUCGUCGUCUUCAGCAACGUGCACUGGGGCCGCUUCCAGGAGGCCGUCCUCGAGCUCAGGCAUGACGUCGCCGAGGCAUGGCCGCAUGGGCGGCGCUGUGGAGGGACGACGCCACGAGGUUCGCGGCCGCCGUCACGUCCCAGUGCAGGGCCGAGAAGGAUCUCUGUUGCCUCGCCGCCGCUGCCCUCAAGCACUCGUCGCGCCUCGGCUUCGGCUCCAUCGCGGAGGAAACCGAGAUGGCCGCCGCGGCGCCGUGCUCAUGGACAUCCGCCGCUGUGUUCAUGGCUGCCGUAUUCAUGUCAUUGCCGCGGCAUCCUCCUGCAAGAAGACGCCAGCGUUUGUGGCCUUCUACCAGAAGGCCUCGCCGGAGACGGACGAGGUGGCUCUUGAGUCUUGGCAGGUUCGAGGCGUUGGAACAAUGCAUCGACGAGUCCAAUAGCAGCUACUCCAAUGUGUUCAGGAGCAUUCUUCAGACAAGGGUUGCGCUGCUCAAUAUUCAGACAAGGAUUGGAACUUGGAAGCAAUGUAUUCCUCCCAAGGAGAUUUUGUUCCAACCCGGAGAUGAUUGGAGUUGCUUCUUACUGAUGAUUGGAGUACUAGAUUAUCAGUGGCUUCUUUUCACUGAUGAUUGAAUAUACUGCAAUGAGAUUUUUUUUCCUUCGUCACAAAGAGUACUCCUAAUGAAGAUUGGCACAAUUGUGAAUUGGGAGAACUAUGUGGGGGGUCUGUAAUGUGAAUGUCCAAGCCAAUAUGUAAUGUGCGGAGUGUGCAUUGUAUCUGUGACCACUUGAAUUAUGAGCAGGUGAAUAAAACCAAGAAGAUGCAGAUGCCAUCAAUCAACAGCCAAUUGUCAAAGAGAUGCUAUGUGUGGUAACAGAGUGCUGAAUUUGGUCUGAAUUUAUCUCUGAAUUUUACCAAAUGUUCUUUCUGAAUUUAGUCCAGCCCGACCUUCUCACUGAAUUUGACCAUAUGUUCAACAUUUAUGUCGAAUGUGCACUAAUGAGCAGCAUACAUGCAUUCAAGUACUCCAGCCAUUAAUUAUACUCCAGUUCACAUAUUGCACAGUUUUUCAGAAAUCUUCAGAAACCAUCAAUUAUAUGUACAAAAAUCUUCAGAAUUACUCCAAUGGAGUAAUUAAACAGUAAGUAUCUCUAGAGGAAGAACAAGUUCACCAAGACUGAAGAAUACUAGCACUGUAUCAGAAAAUGGACAAUAACAAGGUUAUGGCUUGACUGAAUCUGAAUAUAUCAACUUGACUGAAUCCGCUUAUAUCGGAGGAGGCGGGGCAGCGGUAGCAUGGGGGAGAUGACGAUCGAGUCGGCAUCGAGGAAGACAGCAGCGCCGCGCUGGGCAGCACAAGGAAGAAGUGCACCGCGCCACGGGUUCCUACAGCUGGUGGUUGUUUUUUUUUUUCUCAAAUCAAAUCUCUGGUUCAACAAUGAUGCGAACUCUGGUUGAAACCGGAGCUGAACUUGUGAUGGUUAUGUCUAUCGCCUUGCUUGAGUGACCAAUAUAUGUCGAUGACCUGUCAGGACUGGCGCACCUCCAUGAGUAAGCUCAGUUGGCUCCUUUGGAUCUGAUAGCAUUAUGCUUUCAGAGUCAAGCAUUGCAGUAACAUCUGUCAUGGUGGGCCGAUCGGCUGGAUCUUCCUGAGCACAAAGAAGCGCCACCUGCGUGCAUCGCAUUAUCACGGUGCUUUCAUAUCCAUCACACAGUGCUGGAUCAACGAGCUCUUGCAACCUUCCGUCUUUCCACAUAUGCCAUGCCUGAAACAUGUUGCAAUCUGUCAAGUGUGUAACACAAAUCUGUAUGCUAGAAGAAGACCAUAAGAAAAAGUGUAUCAUUGAACUGUAUCUUCACUCACAUCUCGAACGAGAUAGCCAACAAUAUCCCUCUGUUUCUCCAUUAUGAAAUUCUUUCGUCCACUAAUAGUUUCUAGAACCACGACACCGAAGCUAAAUACAUCUGUCUUAAGUGAAUAAAGGCCUUGAGAUGCAUACUCUGGAGCUAUGUAACCACUGGAAAUAGAUAUCACAAGGCAUGAGAAAACUGGAACAUAUAUGUAACAGUGCACCAUUCGUUAUAUUUUGUUCAGCUCCGUACCUGGUUCCCACGACUCUCUUUGUACGCUCUUCUGCUACAUCUGAAACCAGUGUUACCGCCGAUCCAAAAUCACCAAUCUUUGGGUUCAUGUCAUGGUCUAAGAGGAUGUUACUUGGUUUCAAGUCUCUAUGUACAAUCCAACAGUGCUUGUGCAGGUAAAGAAGCCCCUCAGCUAGCCCUUUAAUUAUCUGAAAUCGCUUGGACCAAUUUAGCAAUGCCCCCUUCGUUUUAUCUGUGGAAUGUUUGCACAAUACAUACACUUGAGAGAAAAUAGUACUCCCUCCGUUUCACAAUGUAAGUCAUUCUAGCAUUUCCCACAUUCAUAUUGAUGUUAAUGAAUCUAAACAUAUGUAUGUGCUAGAUUCAUUAACAUCAAUAUGAAUGUGGGAAAUGCUAGAAUGACUUACAUUGUGAAACGGAGGAAGUAAUUGUUACAUGCUGUUCUACAUCAAAUUAACAUAGUUUCUAAUCAGUUGUUAUCAGAAGCAUAGCAACAUUCAAGUGAUAUCCAACUCCCCUUUGGUAAGAGUUGCUUUACAUUCGCAAGCAUAUUUAUUAGAAACUGUAUUAGGUCUGAUUGCAAAAAAUAAAAUAAAGGUCUUGUGUGCAACUUACGGAAGAUAAUAUUGUGCAAACUGCCUUUCUGAAUGUACUCAUAUACAAGGAUCCUUUCUUUUUCAUGGAUGCACCACCCCAAUAACCUAAUUAGAUUGGUAUGCUGAAUCCUUACAAGCUGCAAUUCACUUUUCAAAUCAAAUAUUGCUGUAUCAGCAUCAAAUGUCUUUAUGGCAACUGUAAGUCCAUCAAGCAAGUGGCCCUGCAAUGGAGUUACCAAUAGCUAGAGUUUAUGCGGCAUUCUCUGAUGAUAGAAUAUAUUUUGUGUAGACAAGGAGUAUAUAUGUGUUUAUCACCUUGUAAACAGUACCAAAUCCACCCUUUCCAAGUAUUCUCUUCUCGGAAAAACCAUCUGUAGCAUCCACAAUCUGAAUGAAAUCGAACUUCCUAAAUCCUGGGUAGUUCUCUUCAGUAUGGACAAAAAGUUUCAGUACUGCCUCGAUAUCCAUUAUUUUUUCUUCUUGCGGUUGCGGGUCCACUGUUACUGAAUGAGGGUUAACACUAAAAUGAGAAAUGCUCAGCUUCUUCAUACAAUAACUAAUGACUUCAUACUGAGCAAAAGAUAUAAAACUUGUGUUAUCAAACUCCUUUUCGAAAAACUUAACAAGAAUAGACGUAGAAUAAUGAGAAAAAAUGAUAUUCAUCGUGCAUAAGUAUCUAUCAAUGUGAAAAUGUUGAUAACUUCAGCAUUUGCUUGCUUCUUCUCGCUGAAGUUUUGCAAAAUUUUUAUCAGCUGAAGCUGAUGUUGCACAUUAGCUGGUAUCGUGUUACGAGUACUUAAUCAUCUUUAAGUCUUUAACCACAUUGCAAUGUUAUAUCCUUUCAAAAAACAUUGCAAUGUUAUAAUAAGAUCCAAAUACCCAAUACUUGGUCAUGAUCAUAAGCUAUAAUGUCUGACUAAAAUGAAAUAGGGAUUUUCUCUGUUUGAACAAAUUUCUAAGUGUGCGCUAUUACAUUUGUUUUGACUCUUAUAUUCUUGCUUGUAAGUCCAUUUAUUAAAGUGUGCCUUUUUAAAUCAUUAUUAACAAAUGUAGGAAAUUUGUAGAUGUAGUUACCUACUAAUGAUUUUCCCCCAAUUUCACUAGGUUUGGCCGCUCCUUGAACAUGUAAUUCAAUGAACUCCAAUGCUCUUCUUUGAAACCUAAAAUUGGGCAAAUAUACCCGUUAAUGUCAAAACCAUAAAACAAAGGUCCUGAUUUCGCCCUAAAAACUGGUAUAUUCACAACAGCUGAACUAUUAACAUAGAUAAAUUUGAUAUCGUUACAAUUAUGAUCAAUUAGUAAUCAACCAGAUAUCUUCAAUAAUUCUCUGGUGUUUAAAAUAACCCAAUAUAAGUGGUGUUUCCUCAUCAAUAUCACCAUUUUGUCAAGACGCGAUAAGGACAUCAGGUCCUUGAUUUAGCAUAUAAAGAAACAUUUUUUGAGCAAUCAAUUAUGUACUGAAACAGUAUAUACACCUAACCUUGUGUGAUGGUCUGAACAGCUUGGGACUACAGCACGCACCCCCUCGGUUGCCUGCUAGACAAGAACAGUGAAAACUACAUAUAUCAUUCACAGGCAAUUUGCCUGCAUAUAAAGUGGACUUUUGGAACUAACAGUGGACAAGUAAGGAAAAUCAUAUGAAUGCAGAACUAUUAAUUACUCCAUGUAAAGUUGUUUGUAUGAAAGUCAAAAUCGGUAUGUAGUAUGUACCCCGGUAUCCCCAAGUCCCCAAUUCAGGUACAAAUGCACAACAGAAACAUUGACAGAAUCACUUUGAACAAAUCACUUCGAUCAGAUGAAUCAUCAUAAAAGAAUCUGCAAUUUCUCAUUCAUCUCCGUACGACCAUACGCCAUAAUCUUCAGUUUUAAGACGAACCAACGAAAUUAUCUAAUUACUAGCAAAAGUUGAAACAGGCUUACUGUGACACGACGAUUGCUGCUGCUGUUAUCGACGAGAGCGAUGAGAGGGAUGAGGCGGAUGUACAUGUCGAUCUCGUGCUGCGCGGCGCGGAGCUCGUUGGCCAUCCGGGCGCCGAGGAGCAGGCGGUGGAGGUAGCCGCGGUCCUCCUGGCACGCCGUGACGAGCGCGUAGCACCGCCGCAGCGCGCCCUGGAGCUGCUCGAGGGGCCGCCUGGUGGCCUCCCGCCGCAUCAGCUCGGCGAGCUCCAGCUCCCACAGCAGGCCGCCGACGAGCUCCACG
rnacentral:lncRNA from 1 species